rnacentral:rRNA from 1 species
CUUUACUGUAACCUGGAAUUGGGUUCGGGCUUUGCUUGCGCAGGAUAGGUGGGAGGCGUUGAGAUAUUCCUUGUGGGGAAUGUGGAGCCAACGGUGAGAUACCACUCUGGUGAGGCUAGAAUUCUAACCCGAUGCCGUGAACCGGCUCGGGAACAGUUUCAGGCGGGCAGUUUGACUGGGGCGGUCGCCUCCUAAAAGGUAACGGAGGUGUGCAAAGGUUCCCUCAGGCUGGACGGAAAUCAGCCGUAGAGUGUAAAGGCAUAAGAGAGCUUGACUGCGAGACAAACACGUCGAGCAGGGUGGAAACACGGCCUUAGUGAUCCGACGGCGCUGCGUGGAAAGGCCGUCGCUAAACGGAUAAAAGUUA